CAGCCACAUCACAUUGAAACACUGGUACUCGUACAAUCACCAAAGUUAAACAAUGUUGAGCCUGGCCAGUACUUAGGUGGGCGACCAUUUGAGAAUACCAGGUGAUGUAA